UACGGAGGAGGCAAGCGUUAUCCGGAAUUAUUGGGCGUAAAGCGUCCGCAGGUGGCGAUUCAAGUGCGGUUAAAGACUGGGGCUUAACCCUGGAAAGGCCGUGGAAACUGAAACGCUAGAGUGCAGUAGGGGUAGAGGGAAUUCCCGGUGUAGCGGUGAAAUGCGUAGAGCUCGGGAAGAACAUCGGUGGCGAAAGCGCUCUGCUGGACUGCAACUGACACUCAGGGACGAAAGCUAGGGGAGCGAAUGGG
rnacentral:rRNA from 1 species